AGAAUACUCCCUCCGUCCAAAAAUUCUGUCUUACAUUUGUCUAGAUAUGAAUGUAUCUAUUCACAUUUUAGUAUUUAAUUACAUCUAUUUUUAGACAAAACAAAGACAAGAAUUUAGGAAAGGGGGGAGUACAAA
rnacentral:pre_miRNA from 1 species